UACAGAGGUCUCAAGCGUUGUUCGGAUUCAUUGGGCGUAAAGGGUGCGUAGGCGGCGCGGUAAGUCGGGUGUGAAAUCUCGGGGCUUAACUCCGAAACUGCAUUCGAUACUGCCGUGCUUGAGGACUGGAGAGGAAACUGGAAUUUACGGUGUAGCGGUGAAAUGCGUAGAUAUCGUAAGGAAGACCAGUGGCGAAGGCGGGUCUCUGGACAGUUCCUGACGCUGAGGCGCGAAGGCCAGGGGAGCGAACGGG
rnacentral:rRNA from 1 species